rnacentral:rRNA from 1 species
AGUCGAACGGCAGCACAGUAAGAGCUUGCUCUUAUGGGUGGCGAGUGGCGGACGGGUGAGGAAUACAUCGGAAUCUACCUUUUCGUGGGGGAUAACGUAGGGAAACUUACGCUAAUACCGCAUACGACCUUCGGGUGAAAGCAGGGGACCUUCGGGCCUUGCGCGGAUAGAUGAGCCGAUGUCGGAUUAGCUAGUUGGCGGGGUAAAGGCCCACCAAGGCGACGAUCCGUAGCUGGUCUGAGAGGAUGAUCAGCCACACUGGAACUGAGACACGGUCCAGACUCCUACGGGAGGCAGCAGUGGGGAAUAUUGGACAAUGGGCGCAAGCCUGAUCCAGCCAUACCGCGUGGGUGAAGAAGGCCUUCGGGUUGUAAAGCCCUUUUGUUGGGAAAGAAAAGCAAUCGAUUAAUACUCGGUUGUUCUGACGGUACCCAAAGAAUAAGCACCGGCUAACUUCGUGCCAGCAGCCGCGGUAAUACGAAGGGUGCUAGCGUUACUCGGAAUUACUGGGCGUAAAGCGUGCGUAGGUGGU